rnacentral:rRNA from 1 species
AGUGAACGCUGGCGGUAGGCCUAACACAUGCAAGUCGAACGGCAGCACAGUAAGAGCUUGCUCUUACGGGUGGCGAGUGGCGGACGGGUGAGGAAUACAUCGGAAUCUACUUUUUCGUGGGGGAUAACGUAGGGAAACUUACGCUAAUACCGCAUACGACCUACGGGUGAAAGCAGGGGAUCUUCUGACCUUGCGCGAUUGAAUGAGCCGAUGUCGGAUUAGCUAGUUGGCGGGGUAAAGGCCCACCAAGGCGACGAUCCGUAGCUGGUCUGAGUGGAUGAUCAGCCAAACUGGAACUGAGACACGGUCCAGACGCCUACGGGAGGCAGCAGUGGGGAAUAUUGGACAAUGGGCGGAAGCCUGAUCCAGCCAUACCGCGUGGGUGAAGAAGGCCUUCGGGUUGUAAAGCCCUUUUGUUGGGAAAGAAAAGCAGCAGGUUAAUACCCCGCUGUUCUGACGGUACCCAAAGAAUAAGCACCGGCUAACUUCGUG